GGACCCGCACAAGUAGUGGAGCAUGUGGCUUAAUUCGAGGCAACGCGAAGAACCUUACCUGGUCUUGACAUGCCCGUCGUAGUUUUCCGAAAGGAAUUCGUCAGUUAGGCUGGACGGUGCACAGGUGCUGCAUGGCUGUCGUCAGCUCGUGUCGUGAGAUGUUCGUUAAGUCCGGCAACGAGCGCAACCCUCGUUCCUAGUUGCCAGCGGGUAAUGCCGGGGACUCUAGGAAGACAAACCUCGUGUAGAGGUGGGAAGGUGGGGACGACGUCAAGUCAGUAUGGCCCUUACGACCAGGGCUGCACACGUGCUACAAUGCCCAGCACAAUGGGAUGCAACGCCGCGAGGUU
rnacentral:rRNA from 1 species